GAGUUUGAUCUUGGCUCAGAUUGAACGCUGGCGGCAUGCCUUACACAUGCAAGUCGAACGGCAGCACGGGAGCUUGCUCCUGGUGGCGAGUGGCGAACGGGUGAGUAAUGCAUCGGAACUUAUCCUGGAGUGGGGGAUAACGUAGCGAAAGUUACGCUAAUACCGCAUAUUCUGUGAGCAGGAAAGCGGGGGACCUUCGGGCCUCGCGCUCUUGGAGCGGCCGAUGUCGGAUUAGCUAGUUGGUGAGGUAAAGGCUCACCAAGGCGACGAUCCGUAGCAGGUCUGAGAGGAUGAUCUGCCACACUGGAACUGAGACACGGUCCAGACUCCUACGGGAGGCAGCAGUGGGAAUUUUGGACAAUGGGGGCAACCCUGAUCCAGCCAUGCCGCGUGAGUGAGAAGGCC
rnacentral:rRNA from 1 species